rnacentral:rRNA from 1 species
AUUGAACGCUGGCGGCAUGCUUUACACAUGCAAGUCGAACGGUAACAGGGUGCUUGCACCGCUGACGAGUGGCGAACGGGUGAGUAAUGCGUCGGAACGUGCCGAGUAGUGGGGGAUAACGCAGCGAAAGUUGUGCUAAUACCGCAUAUGUACUGAGGUAGAAAGUGGGGGACCUUCGGGCCUCACGCUAUUCGAGCGGCCGACGUCUGAUUAGCUAGUAGGUGAGGUAAAGGCUCACCUAGGCGACGAUCAGUAGCGGGUCUGAGAGGAUGAUCCGCCACACUGGGACUGAGACACGGCCCAGACUCCUACGGGAGGCAGCAGUGGGGAAUUUUGGACAAUGGGCGAAAGCCUGAUCCAGCCAUGCCGCGUGUCUGAAGAAGGCCUUCGGGUUGUAAAGGACUUUUGUCAGGGAGGAAAUCCCUAGUGCUAAUAACACUGGGGGAUGACAGUACCUGAAGAAUAAGCACCGGCUAACUACGUGCCAGCAGCCGCAGUAAGAC